CUGUAGCUAAUUCCCAUUGUGAGGAAUUAGUGAGUAAAUCGUUAUGAUGUGUUGUUGGUGUUGAAUAUGGUUUGAAAAUUAUACAUAUGAUAUAUAUUAUUGUUGAGUAUGAUGUUGGAAUUAAUACUGCCGUUAUUGAGCGUGUAGUCUGGUUAGGGUGAAUUGUUGCGUUAUCUACUUAACAUUACAUAAUGUUGUAUAAUGCCUAUUACAUUGAUUGAGGAACUCACCCUUACAACUAUUUUUCAGGUAACAAGCAGUGAGUUGAGUAGAAGCUAAUUCUUGGAGUCUAGAGUAAUUCUU
rnacentral:lncRNA from 1 species